UUUAACUAACAUUAAAUCGUCUACAUUACUUAAGAGUUAAAACUUAUGAUAACAUUUAAUUUUAUAGAAAUUGGCUACCGAAACUUACCACAAAUAACACCUGAGAGCAUAAUUGAAAAAUAACAGAUUUAUUCAUUUCAUUUUUACAAUUUUUUAUUUUUGAUGGUCUUAAAAUAUUUGGUUGUGAAAAACCAACAAAGUUAAUCAAGUUUUUCGAUGGUAUUAAUGUAUUCGGCCUUUAUUUUUAUUUUUAAUAUGUUUAUCCAACAAUUCGAAAAACUAUUGGAACUUGAAAUUAAUUAUUCCUAAUUUCCAUCAGUUGUCCACCUGUCCAGCCUCGUGGGGAAUAUACCUAAGUACUAAGGUUGUCCGGAUUGUCAUCGAUUAGCAGCCACUAUUCACUACAUACUCUGUGAUGCGACGUAAUUGGGUGUUAUGAAGAUUGGUAACACUGCGUCCACCAUUGUGUGGCGUGACGCGUCAACGCGUCGUUUGUGUUCGGCGUCACUCCCUCUCAACUAUAUAGAAUGUGUGGAUUGUUGGCCACUUGGCCCGUGGCCGGCGUUGGCCGCUGGGUGGCUUAGUUUAAUAUGGUCAAACUCAAAUAGUUAAAUUAUAAUUACUAACCACUGGUGACUGGUCGGUUCGCUGAGAGAGUAACGUGAUCCCAUGCCAUUCUGUUAAUGUUACCAACUGCACGACCAGUCACGUUUUCGCUUCAGAUAUUUUAUCCAGUCGCAUCGGUAUUUGAGAAAUUACUACAUCUAUGUUGUACAUGAAUUCAAUUUCAGUAAGUACUUAGUGACUUCAUCAUUGUUAAUACUUCGUAUUAUUCUCCACAGUCGAAAUCAACGCACGCCAGAAUUGAUAUUGAUGGACCUAUAAUGCACGGAGAAGAGGAAUGUAAAUGAUAUUAGUCUGGAUCUGGUGUGGUCUGUGAAAGCCAGUUUUGCAUUGAGACUCACAAACUGCUACUAAAGGUACUACCAUCAACGCUCUAAGUUGCCCUUAUUAACCUUAUGUGAGUACAUACUGCAAUCAAACAAGAAGAAUUUAUUUGUGCCAACCAUUCUAUGGGUAUUGUGGAGUUGUCAAACAAGAAUAGGUUGUUAUAUCUACUUACCAUGUUUGUAUUAUUGUCAUUCAAACUAUAUUAUUUGAUUUUACUUUUAAAAUUAAAAAAACAAUUAUAACAUUGUGAUGAAAAACUUAUAAAGUACCUAUUGUAAUAAUUAUUUAUUUAACUAUAAGAAAGUUGAAAGUACUCACCUAGGUAUAAGAUGAUUAUAAAUUGUUUUAUUGUAAGAUUUGAAUACUAAAAAAUAUAAAUUCA